rnacentral:lncRNA from 1 species
GGCGCUUAAAUCCCAAAACUCGAAUGUAUAACCAAUUAAAAAAUUUCAUCUAUUUCCCACAUAUUCUGACAAAAAUGGCUUAUGAAUACAACAAUAGUUAACCCUAUAAAUCAGAAAAAGAGAUAUUGGGGAUUGCUUAAUGCAAAAUUACAAAACCAUACAUGUUCCCAAUAGUUGAUGACCUCAUUUUUAACACAAAAGGUAAAUUUAAAAAAAUAUCAUGUUAUCAAGCAGUUAUGUAAGCAACAUGUAUGUAGAAUGAUUUGAACACAGAGAUACAUAUACAUUGACAAACUUAUACAAUAGGAUUUGACAUAAGGUCAACCUCAAAGAGCCUGAUUUCUAACAUAUCGAUGGUAACUUAAAACAGAACCAGCUGAGAAACCUGUGUAAAAAUAAUUGAAAUAUCUGUGUCGCCAUGAAAACUAACCUUAUUCUCUAUAAAUAUUAUUGUAUGUGUCGCAAAAGGUAAAACUCGAACACAACUCUGCAGAGCAUAUUAUGCGUCACGAAAGAUGUUAACCUUGAUCGCGACGACAAUGAGAAGAUGAUAACCAAAACCCUAAUUGGUCAACACUGCGUCGCCGUUAGGGUCUCAAAUCGGGGAACCAGAGCAACAAUGAAGGUGUAAACAGAAUUGAUAGUAAAUCGAAUCGAAU